rfam:Fukomys damarensis contig128501, whole genome shotgun sequence.
GUCCAUGGCCAUACCACCCUGAAUGCACCUGAUCUUGUCUAAUCUCUGAAGCUAAGCCAGGUCAGGCCUGGUUAGUACUUGGAUGGGAGAAAUCCAGAAAGAUCUAACAC